GAUGAAGAACGUAGCGAAAUGCGAUAAGUAAUGUGAAUUGCGGAAUUCAGUGAAUCAUCGAAUCUUUGAACGCACAUUGCGCCCGCUAGUAUUCUGGCGGGCAUGCCUGUCCGAGCGUCAUUUCAACCCUCAAGCCCCCGGGCUUGGUGUUGGGGAUCGGCGAGCCUCCGCGCCCGCCGUCCCCUAAAUCUAGUGGCGGUCUCGCUGUAGCUUCCUCUGCGUAGUAGCACACCUCGCACUGGGAAACAGCGCGGCCACGCCGUUAAACCCCCAACUUCUGAACGUUUGACCUCGGAUCAGGUAGGAAUACCCGCUGAACUUAAGCAUAUCAAUCAGCGGAGGA
rnacentral:misc_RNA from 1 species